GUGUAGAUAGAUUGAUUCCAGGUGGUUGUUGUUUUAGUUUUUUUGUUUUGAUACUGAGACAAAAAUUAAACGGAUCAAAAGUUUACAUAAACUUAAUUUUUUAUAAAAGGGUUAUCUGAAUGUUCCACAACUGUUUUUUGUUGAACCUCUCAAAACAAAAGCCAGAAUUAAAAUACUCUUUCCUCUUAUUUACCUAACACAAGUACUGUUUUUGCCCUUAUUGAUAAAACAGUACUAUUAUAUUGCAAACUAUGUAUAUUAUAUAUUUUUUUCAUUUAUUGGCAUGCUACAGUUAAAUUAUUCAGAUUACCUGUUUCUGGAUAGGAGUAUUCUAAAUGCUGAAAUUAGUUUGCUUUAACAUAAUAGAAAGUCUGAUGUGACAGGUUGGUUUAGAGCAGUCACAUGCCGCUUCCACAGUGUGCUGGAGGGGGAUCUUCUACUUGACCUGCCCAGUAGUGUUCAUCUCUUCUGCUGCCAUCAUGUUUUUAUUCCCCGCCUGCAAGCCCAGCUUGAUUUAAUCAGAGAUGGCUGGGACAAUCACCCACUUUCAAUUGAGAGAAAUCUCACUGCUAAUCAAAUGUGGCACAUGGGUCUGCAGCACAGCUCUGAAGAGUACAAUGAUGAGAUACAUAUUUAUGAAUUAUAGUUGAAAAAGCAUACAUUUGUGGCAGGAAAAAUAAUGAUUAUUUAGCUUACAGGAUUUGCACAUCCCUUUGAUUGACUGGGAAAGGAGUGGUCUUAAACCCUGUGAUCCCAACUGUGGUGUCCAUGUCCCUGAGACUGACUGCCCUUUGAGACCCGAUGACCUGGCUGUACUUACUGCUGAUGCAGACCCAGUGGGACACUCAACAUGCAUGGAAGUAGACAGAUAUUUAGCUGCACUGUACUAUAUGCACAGCAUUGGCUAUGUAUAGGGUUAUAUGUAUGAACUCUAAUUAUCCAUGCAAUCACAAACACACCUUAAAGUUUGUUUGUUUUGUUUUUUAAUCAAGUUUAUUGUAAAUAGAUGUGUUUCAACUGUUCAAACUCUAAACCAUUUUGAUAAAAGCUAACAUUUCUACAUCUGGAAACAAACAAUAAUUCAACAAUAUUUAGAAUUUUUUAAUUAAGUUACAAUUCAAUGGAAAACAUAAUUUUUUAAAAUAAC
ensembl:lncRNA